AGAGUUUGAUCCUGGCUCAGAUUGAACGUUGGCGGCGCGCCUAACACAUGCAAGUCGAGCGAAAAAGCUCCUUCGGGAGUGAGUAAAGCGGCGAACGGUUGAGUAACACGUGAGAAUCUACCCCUCAGUGAAGAAUACCUUUGAGAAAUCGAAGUUAAUGCUGCAUAAUCCCCUUCGGGGGCAAAGGUGGCCUCUUUCCUGCCGCUGAAGGAUGAGCUUGCGGCCUAUCAGCUAGUUGGUGAGGUAAAAGCUUACCAAGGCAACGACGGGUAGCCGGCCUGAGAGGGUGAUCGGCCAGACUGGAACUUAGACACGGUCCAGACUCCUACGGAGGCAGCAGUGGGGAAUCUUGCGCAAUGGGCGAAAGCCUGACGCAGCGACGCCGCGUGGAGGAUGAAAGUCUUCGGAUUGUAAACUCCUGUUAAGUGGGAAGAAA
rnacentral:rRNA from 1 species